GAUAUAACAUAUGAUUUGUCAUUUGAACGACAUAAAAACUCAAUGUUGACGAUUUCGAAUGGCAAUCAUCUAAAAAAUGGUGGAUUCAAGAUCGAAUGACUUCAUGUCUGUAUUGGAAUGAACAGUCUGUGAUAUUCGAAGGAUAGACAUAACGCCAUAUGAAUUAUUUGCACCCAAAAAAGUAAACGAUGGUGCUUAUUAUUAUCAUCUCAACUAACAGUAGUUGAUCAUUCGUGUUUCAUCUGUUUCCAGUGUUUGGGCUGGCUCGAAUGACAGUCAUUUGAAGCGCUUCAUGCGUUUGCGAGAUAAGUUUUUUCAUUAUUUCUGUGCAGUCGCAAAAAGUCAGUUCGCGACAUCAAAACGUGAAAAUACUGCUGCUUGUCAUCUUCAAGACUAACGUACCCUAGAAAAAUUGUUUUGGAGCUGAUUUCCUGGUAUUGGGAGAGAAACUAGCGUCCGGAUCAAAGGAUUUAUUUGCAUAUUUUCGAGCAAUGCCACUGACAUGGUGUCUUUCAACAUACAGGGAAUAGCCGUUAUUUAGUGCAAAUAACUGGUCAAAGCCAUAGUAUGCAAGGCAAAGAGGGAGUACUGGAAAGGGAGUGAAAUAUACAAUAGGAUGGAUGCCAAAUAGCUGUCAAUUGAUGACUAUGUUGAUCGAAACUAUUAUUCUGGUGAAAUGGUGGCACUAACGAUUCAAUAUCGUACGGGAAUCACAGCCCUAGGAACCACGAGUCCCGAGAGAUUGUAGUUACAGGUAUUCCUAUCCCAAGGUUUGGAAAAUUUCCACGCGACCGGCACUAGGUGAUGGCCAAAUCUACUGGUUUCACAUAACCGUCUUAGUCCCUAAAUCAGAUUCGAGAGCUAGACGGAUCGCAUGAUAUGCAACAUGAGGAGCCAAUGUUCGAUCUGCUUUGGUUCUAUCCCGAUGACCAUGGCGGCUGAACUACAUUGCCCCACAAUGCUGAUUACCUUUGGAAAUGUACAAUCAAUUAAACAAUCUGACGCAGUACAGAUCGAAAGACGGUGGUUUUAAGUAGCAUAUUAUGACCAGACUUGAGGGAUAAAUGUUAAAGUGAUCGAAUUAUUAACAGAAGAGAAAGUAAACAAAGAGAGUAACUCAUUGCAGAUAUGACUUUUUGAAAAAACGCUCAAGAAUUGCGUCCCACUAUUCACCAUCUUGCUGUAAUAUUGAUUUAUUUCCUCUUUUCAAAAAACACCAGCACCGCACAAACGUAAGAGAUUCUGUGAUGUACCAACGUUGCCGCAAGAGAACACUCGUAGCAAUAGGUUUGUUCCAGUACCAGGAGAAACUGGAAGUACUCCGUAGAAAAUCGUUCCUGUAUUAUCUUCUUUUCUUUUCCUUCUUCUGGUAGCAAAUCGGAGUGAAAAGGAGCAAGAAUUUUUUGUUCCGGAGCAACAGGGAGUGAGUUCCGUGUACUGGAACAAACCUAAUCAUUGUUAGCAGAAAGGAAACCACCCUUUUGCGCUCAAGCAAGAAACCAAGUCACCCAGCAAUUUUUAAGUUUACCGUAAAACUUGAAGGCACUGAGCUAGAUCAGCAACCUCCCGAUGCGAUUGUUAAAAGUCGAUCAACGAUCCAGUAGAAUUACGCACUAGACAAGAGAAUAUGUCCGGAAUUACAAAUUCUAACUCAUCAGAAAAAUAUCUUUAAAAAAGCACUAGCUCGGAAACGGUAUCAAUCCAAACUAUGAAAAGUUUCGACUGACUCCGACGCAAAUUCCGGAAACUUUUCUUCGUUGAUUGCGCGAAUAUUAUAUUCUGGUACUGCUAGGUAAAUUUCACAUUGAAGAAUAAUUCCGUUGCUAGCUGCCAUGAUUCAGCAUCGAGAGAUAGAACCUAUAGUCGAGAUCGAACCAAGAGAGCAAGGCAAACCGUUGUCACUAAACGCCCUAGCACUAAACUAAAACAAGUUAUAUUACACAUAAGACAUAACUUUCUCCGCUAAAGGAAGGCAACAAAUUUUUACCGUUAAAUUUGAAUACUGCGUAAUUGUCUCCCUUCGUUUACUUUCGUAGUCACCGACGUUACGUAACAUGUUUUAACUGAAGAAUUUUUUUCGAAGACUCACGUACCGGGGGAGUAGCGAUAAAAAAAGUUGUGGUUCAGCCGGAAAUGGCUGGAUUUCUGGCUGGUUCCAGUUCGUAUUCUGGCUCCAGUAACACAACCGAUUCUAAUUAGCCACUGAAGUCGGAAUACGAACUGGAACCAGCCAGAAUUCCGGUUCAUUUCCGGCUGAGCUUAACUGGGUGCUAAAGCUGUAAGAUUGUCAUGGUGACGUUGGUAACGAAACUAUAUUAAGCAAAGUGUCAAAAGUUUGAAUUCAAUGUGAGGUUAUUUUUUAUACUACGGUAGCAUGUUACAAGCAUUUGGAUUGUGUUUUGAUGUUUUUAGAAUAUAUUAUUUUGA